rnacentral:rRNA from 1 species
CCCUUAGAUGUUCUGGGCCGCACGCGCGCUACACUGAUGCAUUCAACGAGUUCCUACCUUGGCCGAGAGGCCUGGGCAAUCUUUUGAACUUGCAUCGUGAUAGGGAUAGAUUAUUGCAAUUAUUAAUCUUGAACGAGGAAUUCCUAGUAAACGCAGAUCAUCAAUCUGCAUUGAUUACGUCCCUGCCCUUUGUACACACCGUCCGUCGCACCUACCGAUUGAAUGGUCCGGUGAAGCCUCGGGAUUGUGGUUAGUUUCCUUCAUUGGAAGUUAGCCGCGAGAACUUGUCUAAACCUUAUCAUUUAGAGGAAGGUGAAGUCGUAACA